rnacentral:rRNA from 1 species
AUACGGAGGGUGCAAGCGUUAUUCGGAAUCACGGGGCGUAAAGGACGCGUAGGCGGGUUGGCAAGUCAGAUGUGAAAUCCUACAGCUUAACUGUAGAACUGCAUUUGAAACUGCUAACCUAGAGUAUGGGAGGGGGAGAUGGAAUUAGUGGUGUAGGGGUAAAAUCCGUAGAUAUCACUAGGAAUACCGAAAGCGAAGGCGAUCUCCUGGAACAUAACUGACGCUAAGGCGUGAAAGCGUGGGGAGCAAACAGGAUUAGAAACCCUUGUAGUCC